AUGGAUUAAUGAUUGUACAUUGAGCAUUGACCCCCCUAUACUGAAUUUUAUUGUUGUUAACCAUUUGAUCAAUAAAUGAGAGAUGCCCUCUCAAAAAAAAAUGAUUUAAAUGUCAAAAGUAAGCUUUAAUAUCAAUAAUGAUCUUAUGUAAAACUGGAACUUCUUGUUUGAAAGAACAGAGUUUUCUUGAACUAUUGGUCUGCUUAAUAUUAAGAGAUUGUGAAGGGUUUUCCUUGUCCUUAGUGUUUUUGUUUUAUCAGAAUAAUUUCUUGUGCUUCUCAUUGUCUUAAUCAGGUCUUUGAUUUCUUAAGAAAACCGAGUCUCUUCAAUACCCAAUAAAUCUAUAAAGAGAUUAUGGCACAUGUAAAUGAAGUCCAUUCAGCUUCUGCAAAAUUUGGCCUUUUAUUGCCAGACUUUUGCCAUCCUGAUAUUCCUCUGAUGUAGCAACAAUCUUCACCAGAGUCAGAGAAAGAUGAGCAAACAAUGAUUGCAAAUUAAACAGUCAGGGCUAUGGGAACCCCAAGAUGGCUGCGGUCCCUUCCUGGAUCCCUGUCAGACUCCUUUUUUCUUUUGGUUUUUGCAUUUCUUCACUCACCGUAGUGCCUUUAAGGAGAAACCAUUUUGUUUUCCAGAGGCCUCAGACCUCCUCUCACUGGACCCUUUGAACAACUGCAGCUGAACUUCAACUGCCACUUAGUAUAGGUUAUAAAAUGUUCUUAUUAUUGUACUCUGUUUUCCAGAGAGUUGAAGCCUUCCCUUGUUACAUAGUUGGUGCCCUCACAGUAACAAAGAAACUGUUAGAACAUGUUUCCACUUAGGGUGUACCUUCUGUAAUCUCCAAUGAUAGGGGUCCUCACUUCACUGUGCAAAUCGUAAAAGCUUUAAGGAAAGCCCCGCAAACUUCUGGACCUCAAUCUUAAAGUUUCUGAACUUGCAAAAACUACUGGACUUCCCUGACUAAGGUAUUGCCUUUGGUUUUGCUGACUGUUCACAGUACCAGCUUUUGAAAACAUAAACUCACUCCAUAUGAGAUAGUUAGCAGCAGAACAAUGUCUAUUGGUGUACAACCUUUGUUGGUCCCUUGUUGUAUAUCAUGCUAAAAUGCAAGUGUCUAAUAUAUUAUGCCCAAGCAUAUCGUCAGCAGGUAAAAGAAUCCUUACCACAACCCAGUUCAAAGGAUCCAGUUGGUCACAGACUAGAGCCUGGUUACUGGGUAUACUGGAAACAUCAGAGGAAGAGAGCUCUUGAGUCACCCUGGGAAGGACCUUUCUGAGUGCUCCUGACCACUGACACUGUUGCAGAAUUAGAGGGCAUUGAAACCCGGAUACACAUCUCACAACUAAAUGCGGCUCACAUUGACACCUGGUCUUGAACAGACACAGGAGACCACCUCUGAAUCAGAUUGAGGAAGAGAAGCUGACAUUGGUGUAGACUGCUUCACCCCAAGAUGAUGGAUCAAGACUUUAUACUUCAACUAGGUUUAAAUGCAGUUAAACAACUAACUACCAAACAGAUGACCUCCCUGAUACUGGAACUUCAGAGGAGAAUUGAAGAGAAUGACUGACUUAAGGCUCUCAUUGAAUCUGAAUUAACCUGUGAAUAUCACAGAGGUAAAAGCACAAAUGUCAUGACCCAUGGACACCACCACGUAAGAGGAGCUACAAAAGCUGCAGCUACAGAGCAGUAACUGACAGUGGUGCUGACGCCUGACAUUCUGAUCACAUCUCUCCAUCAGGCUGAGAAUCUGAUCAUAAGGGAGGGAACCGUUAAAAAGAUAGACACAGGCCCAACCUGGGGUCACUUCUGUUAGGCAAAGUCACCAAACUGGGGCUUAAUACCUCACCUAGCUGCAGUUUCAACCUCCCGCAGAUUGUAGUCAGUCAGGAAUUUUCUGGUAAGCAUCAAUAAGAAAAUGUCACCUGGGCCCUCUCCAUUCCCCAAAGGAAUCUACCUAAUAAGGCCCUUUUGUCCCCAGAUGGAGGUGACCUCUGAAACAACCCUUUUUGCUGUUUAUGACUUCCUUGUCUUGCCUUUAAAAAGCUUUCUGUUGCCCUUCGGAGCAUUACUCUACUUGCUAGGUGGGAUGCUGCUUGAUCCAUGAAACACUUAAUAAAGCCAAUUAGAUCUUCAAA